rnacentral:pre_miRNA from 11 species
CUUCUUACCUUCCUCUGGCCCCCGCGCAGCAGUUCUUCAGCGGCAUCGCUUUACGUCCCCUUUAAGAAGCUAAAGCUGCCAGUUGAAGAACUGUUGGCCGGGGCCCCACGCCACCAGGAAGAGG